GGGGAUGUAAAGGUUUCGACGGGGGUUUUAAACCUUGGUAAGCGAGUAGCGGUGUGGAACCGCUAUAAAAUCCACAACUUAAAUUUAAACGGCAAAACUAAUAAGUUAGCUUUAGCAGCUUGAUGUAAGCUGCUUGUCCUGCCGUUGAGCACCACGGCUUCGGCAAGGGCAUCGAUCCAGUGGUAAAUGUGAAUCGGGGGAUGUUCCGACCUCGGUCACACAUCAGGAACUACCGAAGCGUAUAGCCUGUUAUUGGGCGCUGCGCCGAGGGAAUAAAAAUCAAUAACUACACUCGUAGAAAGCCUUGGAGAGAAACUUUCGGACGGGGGUCCGAUUCCCCCCAUCUCCACCA
rnacentral:tmRNA from 1 species